CGCCGCCGAGCAGUGGUUGCCAUGGUUACGGCCAUGCAAGUCUGGGCGAAAUGCAUCUGCGGUGCAGCGCGCGGGUGGGGGCGGGGAGGGCCCCGCAGCCCCCGGCACCGCCGCGGCCCCCACCCCACAGCCGACCCCGACCCGCGGCUGCUGACCCCAUCCCGGCACCAUUGUUCGGAGCCGUGGCAGCGGGCGGGGGGUGCGGGGGGCGCAGACAGACUGAGCGCCCCGAUGGGCUCCGAGCCGCCCCCCCCUGCCCCACAGCGGGGUCUCCGGGAUCCGCGGAUCCGCGCCCCGGGAACGCCAUCGGUUCUGCUCUGCGGCGGAGGGGAAUUCUGCUCCUGGAAGUGAAGCAAUCCAGGCGGGGACAGCGGGGGAUCGGGGAAGGAGGGGAUUUCUGAUGGAAAGUUGCAGACGAUCCCAGCGCUGCCCGUGUGAUUUCCCACCGCGCUCCUCCCGCAGCUGCCCGAGGAUGGAGCUGCCGUUCCUCCCCAGUGCUGCUGCGCUGGGAACUGCACCCAGGGCUGCACCCAGAAAUGCACCGAUAUCUGCAUCACAGCACUGCUGCCGCCCGUCCCUCGCUGCAAGCAGCCCCGCAUCUCACACCCCUCAGCCCCGCAGCCCCGCAGCCCUUCCCCCCACGCCUCGCUGGCCUCUCUCUGCCCGGCCGUCAGAUGUUGCUGAAAGGGAACAAUGCGACGUAUUGUCUGUCCCCGCUCGCAGGCAUCAAAACCCAGCAGCGCAACAAAAAGACACAUUGACUGCCCGGGAGAAAGGGGCCCAUACAUCGCCAGCGCUGGGGGCAGGGACUGCAGCAUCCCAGCGCCGCUUUCCUGUCCCCGGCCCGGUCACCGCCGUCCGUCCCCGGGGGUGCAGCAAUCAUCCACUGGGACCGGGGGUUGGCCUUGGGGUCUGCACCGGUGGUGGCCGGGUGGGACAGGGGGCUGCGUUAGUGUGGGAUGCACAGGACCUGAGCUGCCGUGCCUGUGCUCAGUCCAUGUCAGUCCCACGCAGGACCCCAUAGGGAUGGUGGCACUGCGGGCAUCACAACCCCACUCCAAGGUCCCUCUGGGCAAAGGUGGGGAGAGAUGGGGAGCCGAGCCCACCCGGGGACUGCACCACAACCCCACUCUGGUCCCCAUGGCGGGGUUGGACCCGGCACCACCUCCAGCACAGCUUCCUCACCACACUGCUGGCUGCGGGCACCAACCCCUGGCACCUCCGGAGGAAACGGGAUGGGAAAAGCUGCACUUGGACAGAGAGAGGCUUUUGUUUCCAUUAUAAACUUCCCUUCCAGUGAGGACGGAGCUCCGAAGCACUCUCAGCUCAGGCCCUGCACUCAGCCGCCCUCCUGCAGGACUCAGCCUUUCUCCUCCACACAAAGCUGGCGGCACCCUGCGCUCAUCGCAUGGCCAAAAUGGGCACACGAGGCUCUGGGUCAGUUGGCCCUUAAUCAGCCCUGAACGGUUGGGACGUGAGAGAGGUGGCUCUGGGGAUGUGCACUGUGAUGGGCACGGCUGUGCUGCCCAUCCGGAUCUGUGGUCCCAGGAAAUGGGGUGCGGGGAACGGGGAAUGGGAAAUGGGGAAUGGGAAAUGGGGUAUGGGCAGGAUGGGGGGAUGCGAGGAGGACGUUAGCAAAGUGAAAAGCAGCCCCAGAAAUAGAAGACGCAGUUACACAAGGCACCGGUUGCCAUGGGAUCUUCACAACCAAAAAUGACGGGCCUCUGGCAAAUACAAGAACGGGCCCUUUUAUGUGUUUCUAUGGGAAGUCAGCACCUCGCUGCAGCCUCCCGGGCUGGAGCCUUUCCCAGGGCAGGACGGAUUCGGAACCGGCUCUGGGAGAGCAGCAGGACGCGUCCCCACAGCAGCGCCCCAGCACAGAACAGGGGGAUGGGGUAACCCAGGGUGGGAUGAGAGCGAUGGAAGGCCCUGAGCAGACCCCCGCCGGGGCCCAGGACCCCUCUUCCCAGUGCAGGCAGCAGGCGGGGGCUCGGCAGUGACCCAGCAGUGGGUCACAGGUUUGGUGGUGGCAGAUAUCUGCUUGUAGGAGGGACAGAAAAGCCCUCAUCACCACCUCCCCCUCCUGUCCACGCUGAGCCCUUCCCCCUGAAGUCCCCUGGUUCCGCACCAGGCAGCUUUUCCUCCUGUAUCUGAAUACAGCCCCAUGGGCCGGGCAGUCUGAGCUGGGGAGCACACGGACGUGGUGACACACAGUGACACGCGGUACAACAGCCCCCAGCCCACCCCAUGGACUCCUUCCAGCCAUGGGAUGCACAGCACUGCCAGCAGCCGUCCCCAUCCCUCUGCGCUCUCCCUGCUGGAAUUCUCUCCCCAGAAGAGCUCUAAUUAGCUAAUUCCUUCACUGUUAAUAAAUCAAUAUGGAAAUCCCUCUGCUUGAUUCCCAGCACCAUUGGCUGUCCCUGCUGGGGGGCCCCAUUAAGGGCCGCAGGAUGAGUGCUCCCUGAUCCAUCAGUCCGUGACAGUCGGUGUUGGGGUGAGUGGGGCGGGGGCACUCUGCGGGGUGGGGGGACCCCCUCCUGCCCCACUCCAGCACGGCCGUGUCCCGCGGGCUGUCAGCGCUUAGCACCUCAUAAAUUCAUAAUCAGCAAGUGGUUUAAGUAGGUCUGGAAAGUGGAAAAUAACAUCAGCGAAGAUCUCUCCUCCCCGAGGCCCUCUGGGUAGGAGAGACAGAUUUGGCUGCCUGUCCAUCUGCUGGGGAGCAAACAGCCCCAUAAUCUGCAAAUCCCCACCGCUUCCCGGAGCCGGGGAGGUGGCACAGCACCCUCAGGCUCAGUUUGUGCCACAGCUUUGCAGGAGAAGGAGGAUUUCAAGGAAAGAUGGGGCCGAGAGCAGCGCGUGCUGCUGAGAUGAACGCCGCCGGGAAAGCACACGUGGGAUUUUCUGCCUUUCUUCUGAUGCUGAGGGGGGACCGCACCACGACCUGCAGUCACACUGAACGUCACCUCCCGUCCCGUCAGCUCUGCGCUCUGAUCGCAGAGGAGCGGCGCUGAGAAGCACUUUCUCCCCUCCACCAAAACACAGCAGAGACGGUCAGCAGCCCCAUCCUCAGCACCCCAUCCUGGGAAGCCCGGAACGGCCCCACCGCUCCUCCAGCCCAGCCCUGAGCACAGCGUCCCCACGGGACCAACUCAAUGGGCUCACUUGGGCCAAAGCAAGCAGCCUCGCCGUGCUCAGAAACCAAGAGCUGAUCAUCUUGAAUGCUCUGCAGCCCCUUUGCACCCCCUUCCCGUGUUCCCUGCAGCCCCCGGAUGGCUCCAGCAGCAGCAGCCGUGCGGCGGCCGGCCAAAGGCUUCAUCAGCUGGCACCCAAAAGUCAAUCAGGAAGACGCCGCCUGUUUUAAUGAACAGAGAAAUUUCGCUCCAGCGGGGUGAGCUGCUGUGCGCCGGGGGGAGGAGGGAGGCUGGAGACAAAACAUGACCUUGUUGGCGGAGCGCA